rnacentral:misc_RNA from 1 species
UCUGCGCACGAGCAUCUUUCCCUGGGUGUCCUCUCAUCUGCUCUCGCACAUGCAUGGCUUUCUCACUUCUGUAUUGCCUCCCUAAUCUGCACCGACAGUUCUUUUGAAAGCAAGCACACAGCACUACGAGUGCCGCUUCUUCGCUUGACCGCCACAACCGUUGCGCUUCCUGCUGGUCGAUACGUUUAACGGCUGCAUAGCACUCUCUCUUUCUCCCUCUCAUCCUCUGCUGCAGCUACAGCAUUUGCUUCUCGCUUCUUUCUUCCCACCACAGACGCACGCACAAAACAAUGCAGACAUGGACGGGGCCAACUGAGUUGCUGCCUAUGGAGCCGAUCCCGCGAAUCAGCUCCAUGGCUGCCGCUCCUCUUUCCAGGACGUUCUCACCCAAGUCCUCAGGAAGCUCCUUCUCAUCUCACAGCCAAGAGAGAAUGGAGCAAAACUACCGAGAAAGCGCUGCGGGGUUUGGGCCUCCACCAGCCGAGAGCGCCUCCAAUGCUGCAAAUGGCGAUGUCGUCGUCUGCCAGUCUCGCAGCCAUCGUGAAACCACCGCUCAACCCAAUACCUCUGGCAACAACUACGGUGAAAGCACCCGGGUCGGCGCACGCGAUAACAAGAGCGCCGACUCGGGCAUCGAUAGCGCCGGCGUUGCGCGCUGCUUUGUACUGACACACGAUCCGCUACUUUACGGCAUUCUCAAGUGGGGUCUGGCGACCUUGUUGCUUCUUUUCCUCGCCUUCAUUGUCUUUGGCAUGUUAUACAGUUCCAUCCGCUACGGCGGGAACUGUACCGGCACCAAUGGGACCUCAGGUGGGACAGUGAAGCCACGCGGACCGUGCGUCACGCCGUUCAGCACCAUCCUCGGCGUCUUCAACGGCGUCUUUGGCUACAGCAACUGCAAUGACAGCUAUGUGUCUACAGAGCUGGGGUACAUUAACUUGACGGUGCCGGAACUGAACAACGAGACAGGGCAGCUAACCUACAUCUCUAAGCAGUUCUACACGGGGCUGGCGUGGCAGUGCGUUGAGUACGCGCGGCGAUACUGGAUGCAGAGCGGAACACCGCAGCCAGCGUACUUCGAAUCCGUUCCAGGGGCCGCGGACAUUUGGAACCUGACCUUUGUGAGGCUUCUGUCGAACACAUCGAUGAAGCUGCCGCUGCACAGGUUCAGGAACGGCGACCGCGUGACGAACAACCUCCAGGUACCCGCAGUCGGUGACAUCAUCAUCUACCCCGUCCAAGGUGGUGGCUUUCCCUACGGCCACGUCGCCGUCAUCGCGAGUGUUGAAAUAUCGACGCACGGCGCCAUCUACGUGGCGGAACAAAACUGGGAUAACGCCGUGUGGCCAUCAGCGCACCACAACUACAGCAGAAGGAUUCCAUUGUACUAUGACAUGCUGACCUCCACCAUCACGCUUGAUGAUCCGAAAGGUAAAAUUAUCGGGUGGAUGCGGUACGGCUGAGCAGCUAGGGGCAUGAAGGCAAGCAGACGAUCGCCGAACCCUCACAUUGGGGCUGCUUGUACCGCGACACACACAUAAAAACGCGCUAGACGACGGCUACCCGUUGAAAAGGCAUGAGAGCACAUCCGUGUGCCAUUGAUGCACAUCCAAGAGGAGUGUGGGUGGGAGGAGGCAAAAAGCGCUGGGAAUUACAUAGCGGCGCUGCAUCUGUUUCUCGCUCCUUUUCACUAUAUGUCUUCGUUGAAUAUCAUCGAAGGAGGCCGAUAGUGCCCGUCGCCUCACGGUAGCGCCAGGGCCUAGUGCCCAGCGUGCGGGGACGCCAAGGGCCUGCAGCCCGCCCUGGAAGGGGGGUGGUGGUGCGGCUGCGGACUCUCGAUGUCGGCGGACAGGCCUGGGCUGGCGCUACGCGGAGGAGGCCUGCAGUCAUGAGCGCGUUUGCACCAGCUCACCACGAAUCGUGUCGGCGAUCAAACGAGUAGGCGCAUCCCACCUGCUGUGUUUCUGCUUUUGCUGCGUUGCGGCGGUGUUGGGUGGGCCCGCUCCUGGGCAUCUCCGUGGUGCAGCAGAGGUAGGUGAACGGUGGCCGUGUGUGUCUACUGGCUGACUUGUUCGUGGUACAAUGCCACGUUGAAGAAAGAGCAGCGAUGCAUACGGCGUCGAGGAGCGCAACUGGAAUACGCAGCGCUUCUAGGGAAGCUGAGCGUAUGUGUGUGUGUGGGUGGGUGUGCUUGUGUUUGUGCUGCAAGGUCUGCUUUUCAAACCUGACGGUGCCUUAUUCUGCAUUGAGCGUCCGCUCCGCUCCUACAAUAUGUGUUGCGAGCUUCUCUUUUUGCUUGUCUCUGCUGUAUUGCUAUGUAGCGUUCUUUUACACACACUAUAUGUGUAUGUGUCUUCCUGUACGCUGCUGCGUGUGUCAUUCAGCCUGGCAACGGUAAUGCUACGUUCAGCUUAUUAUUUUUGUUGCACAGAAGCGAGCGGUUCUUCUCUGUGCAUUCCUUGUUCGUUCUGGGGUUUGUCUUGGGUUGUAUCUCUGUGUGUAUGUGUGUCGGGGAGUGAAGAGUACACGAGCAAGUGCAGCCCGCACCUGCACACAUACGCACACUCUGACUUACAGGCAGGCGAAGGGAUCAUGAUGCAGGCAGAGUGCAUAUGUGUAUAUAUAUAUAUAUGCAUAUGUGUAUGCGGACAUUUAUAUAGAAAUAUAUUUGUGGGAAUGGGAGGAGUAUCGGAGAGGAAAAGGUAAACGGCCUUUGGCAGACGCGUGUGACGUAACUGCACCCUCCCUACCACCACUGCCACCCAUACACACAAGCAUGCGGGCAUGUGUAUGGGUUUUUAAUUGCUUUGUUGUUUUUUUUCUUCGUGUGUGUGUGUGUGUGGGGGGGGGUCUUGCGUUUUGCACCGUUCGACUUCUGGCCGUGCUCUGUUGCUCCUUUCUCCCUUCGCAUCGUCUCGCUGAGUGGCUCUUGCUCUUAUCUCCCCCCUGCUUAUCUUCUUUGGCCUGUUUUCGGGGAGUCUGUGCGGGGGAGGGGGAAGGGCGGCACGUGUGUGCGUGUACUAACAGUUUUGCACCUCCCCUCCUUUUCUCCCGACGCUUUGGCUCACCCACUGCGCACCCCCUCCAGCGCCACCCUCAGGCUCAUCUCGAGCCCCUUUCCCUCUCUUUUUUUUUGCUAUCGCCUGCGUUGGAUUGCUUCCACGCGUACCACUAUUUUCUGCUCCGACAGAUGAUUCGACUCUGUGUGUAUCAGCGAGUCUAGGUGUCCAUUAUUGGCCUCCCUGCCUCCCUGCUUCUCUCUUUGGGCCGAUGCUCAUCAAUGUCUCUCUCUCUCUCCCUAUGAGAGUGUGCGUGUCUCUUACGUGCACGCAGAGCGCGGCGAUCCCGUAGAUAUGCGUCUGCCAAGGCACUUCUUUGCGACUGUAUGUAUGGUUUACCUGGCGCGUGCUCUGGCUCAGAAUCCUUUCACAAUGGUGUCGGCGCGCUUUUCAUUGUUGUUGUUACUGUCUACUACGACGAUGCUCGCUCUGUGCAAGCGAAGAUGAGGGAUGCCGGUAAAGGAUACGCUUAAAACGCUUUUGAACAGCUGCAGAGCCGCAGCAAGCGCUGAAUGACGAUAGCAGCGGAAAGCGAAAAUGUUUUAAAGGAAGAGCGGCAGCAACAGUCGUGGUGAUCAUUACUGCUCGCCAAUGCUCAUAAACAAAUACACACACA